rnacentral:rRNA from 1 species
CAAUAAGCGGAGGAAAAAGAAACUAACAANGGAUUCCCCUAGUAACUGCGAGUGAAGCGGGAAAAGCUCAAAUUUAAAAUCUGGCAGUCUUUGGCUGUCCGAGUUGUAAUCUAGAGAAGCAUUAUCCGCGCUGGACCGUGUACAAGUCUCCUGGAAUGGAGCGUCAUAGAGGGUGAGAAUCCCGUCUUUGACACGGACUGCCAGGGCUUUGUGAUGUGCUCUCAAAGAGUCGAGUUGUUUGGGAAUGCAGCUCAAAAUGGGUGGUAAAUUCCAUCUAAAGCUAAAUAUUGGCGAGAGACCGAUAGCGAACAAGUACCGUGAGGGAAAGAUGAAAAGAACUUUGGAAAGAGAGUUAAACAGUACGUGAAAUUGCUGAAAGGGAAACGCUUGAAGUCAGUCGCGUUGGCCAGGGAUCAACCUUGCUUUUUUGCUUGGCUUACUUCCUGGUUAAUGGGUCAGCAUCAAUUUUGACUGGUGGAAAAAGUUCAAGGGAAUGUGGCAUCUUCGGAUGUGUUAUAGCCUUUGCUCGCAUACAUCAGUUGGGAUUGAGGAACUCAGCACGCCGCAAGGCCGGGUUUUUUUACCACGUACGUGCUUAGGAUGCUGGCAUAAUGGCUUUAAUCGACCCGUCUUGAAACACGGACCAAGGAGUCUAACAUGCCUGCGAGUGUUUGGGUGGAAAACCCGAGCGCGUAAUGAAAGUGAAAGUUGAGAUCCCUGUCGUGGGGAGCAUCGACGCCCGGAUCGGACCUUUUGUGAUGAUCCCGCGGUAGAGCAUGUAUGUUGGGACCCGAAAGAUGGUGAACUAUGCCUGAAUAGGGUGAAGCCAGAGGAAACUCUGGUGGAGGCUCGUAGCGAUUCUGACGUGCAAAUCGAUCGUCAAAUUUGGGUAUAGGGGCGAAAGACUAAUCGAACCAU